GAUCAUGGCUCAGGACGAACGCUGGCGGCGUGCCUAACACAUGCAAGGUCGAACGGGGGUUACGAGAGCUUGCUCUUGUAACUUAGUGGCGAACGGGUGAGUAACGCGUGAGAAACCUGCCUCUCAGUGGGGGACAACAGUUGGAAACGACUGCUAAUACCGCAUAAUGUGCCGGGAGGGCAUCCUCCUGGUACCAAAGCUUUAUGUGCUGAAAGAUGGUCUCGCGUCUGAUUAGCUAGUUGGUGAGGCAACGGCUCACCAAGGCGACGAUCAGUAGCCGGUCUGAGAGGAUGAACGGCCACAUUGGGACUGAGAUACGGCCCAGACUCCUACGGGAGGCAGCAGUGGGGAAUAUUGGGCAAUGGGGGAAACCCUGACCCAGCAACGCCGCGUGAAGGAAGAAGGCCUUCGGGUUGUAAACUUCUUUUAGCAGGGACGAAGAACGUGACGGUACCUGCAGAAAAAGCAACGGCUAACUACGUG
rnacentral:rRNA from 1 species